AGAGUUUGAUCCUGGCUCAGGAUGAACGCCGGCGGUGUGCCUAAUACAUGCAAGUCGAACGCGUUGGCCCAACUGAUUGAACGUGCUUGCACGGACUUGACGUUGGUUUACCAGCGAGUGGCGGACGGGUGAGUAACACGUAGGUAACCUGCCCCAAAGCGGGGGAUAACAUUUGGAAACAGAUGCUAAUACCGCAUAACAAUUUGAAUCGCAUGAUUCAAAUUUAAAAGAUGGCUUCGGCUAUCACUUUGGGAUGGACCUGCGGCGCAUUAGCUUGUUGGUAGGGUAACGGCCUACCAAGGCUGUGAUGCGUAGCCGAGUUGAGAGACUGAUCGGCCACAAUGGAACUGAGACACGGUCCAUACUCCUACGGGAGGCAGCAGUAGGGAAUCUUCCACAAUGGGCGCAAGCCUGAUGGAGCAACACCGCGUGAGUGAAGAAGGGUUUCGGCUCGUAAAGCUCUGUUGUUAGAGAAGAACGUGCGUGAGAGCAACUGUUCACGCAGUGACGGUAUCUAACCAGAAAGUCACGGCUAACUACGUGCCAGCAGCCGCGGUAAUACGUAGGUGGCAAGCGUUAUCCGGAUUUAUUGGGCGUAAAGCGAGCGCAGGCGGUUUGAUAAGUCUGAUGUGAAAGCCUUUGGCUUAACCAAAGAAGUGCAUCGGAAACUGUCAGACUUGAGUGCAGAAGAGGACAGUGGAACUCCAUGUGUAGCGGUGGAAUGCGUAGAUAUAUGGAAGAACACCAGUGGCGAAGGCGGCUGUCUGGUCUGCAACUGACGCUGAGGCUCGAAAGCAUGGGUAGCGAACAGGAUUAGAUACCCUGGUAGUCCAUGCCGUAAACGAUGAAUGCUAGGUGUUUGGAGGGUUUCCGCCCUUCCGUGCCGCAG
rnacentral:rRNA from 1 species